rnacentral:lncRNA from 1 species
AUGGCCAUAAAUCUACCUCACCGCCUGGGUAUCGAUACCCUUGCUCACUGCGGGGGACACUCACCGGGGGUGGAUGGGGGUUCCCCGGCCCAGGGCUGGCUCGGCUGCGGGAGCUUCACCGUGCGCGUCGUCUUCCCUCACCGGCACCGGCUGCGGGGCUGGGAGCCCCCUGGAAACGACAGCGGUUGUGAGCAGCAGAAACACAAAUUUCCGAGAGCUCCGCGCUCAGUGCCUCGCACGUCUCGGUUUUGGCACCGCCGGUGGAGCCGGGCAAGGUGGGAUGGAUGCUCGGCCAAGCGCUCAGCGUUGGCUCGAAAGUGGAUUCGCUCCAGGCAAAAGCUCUACGGGCUCUUCUCCAUGAGCAUUGUUACGGUUACUCCGUGCCCGGGCAGAAGAAGGAAACUUCCAUUAUUUUCGGUGUUAUUUCUGUUUGUCCAGCCAGGGGAAGGAGGUGUUUGGUGGGGGUGGGGAGGGCGGGGGGUUCCGAGGGGGGUCCCACCCGCAUAUAUUCAGAGCUGUCUCCCCUCCGCUGCCCGGGGCCAUCCCCAGCGGCUCCCUGCAGCCCUUGCACACCCCCACCCCCCCCGAGCCGCGCCGAGCCGAGCCGUGUCCAGCCGGGCCAAAAACCGAGCUGAAGAAAGCGAAGGUGCUCCCGCAGCACCGGCAGCCUCCCAACCCACCGCCCCUCUCCUCGCUGCGCACCGAGCCACGUGA